AGCAGCUCACUGGGUAUAAAGCGUGCGCAGGCGGUUUUGUAAGACAGAGGUGAAAUCCCCGGGCUCAACCUGGGAACUGCCUUUGUGACUGCAAGGCUGGAGUGCGGCAGAGGGGGAUGGAAUUCCGCGUGUAGCAGUGAAAUGCGUAGAUAUGCGGAGGAACACCGAUGGCGAAGGCAAUCCCCUGGGCCUGCACUGACGCUCAUGCACGAAAGCGUGGGGAGCAAACA
rnacentral:rRNA from 1 species